rnacentral:rRNA from 2 species
UGGGGAAUAUUGCACAAUGGGCGCAAGCCUGAUGCAGCCAUGCCGCGUGUAUGAAGAAGGCCUUCGGGUUGUAAAGUACUUUCAGCGGGGAGGAAGGGAGUAAAGUUAAUACCUUUGCUCAUUGACGUUACCCGCAGAAGAAGCACCGGCUAACUCCGUGCCAGCAGCCGCGGUAAUACGGAGGGUGCAAGCGUUAAUCGGAAUUACUGGGCGUAAAGCGCACGCAGGCGGUUUGUUAAGUCAGAUGUGAAAUCCCCGGGCUCAACCUGGGAACUGCAUCUGAUACUGGCAAGCUUGAGUCUCGUAGAGGGGGGUAGAAUUCCAGGUGUAGCGGCGAAAUGCGUAGAGAUCUGGAGGAAUACCGGUGGCGAAGGCGGCCCCCUGGACGAAGACUGACGCUCAGGUGCGAAAGCGUGGGGAGCAAACAGG